GGGGUUUCCCAAAAGGGAAGGACCAGAAGAGGAAAAGGAGCCAUCAGCCCACCUCCCUUCUUGGAGCCCCACAUGCUAAGGAGCUGGCCCUGAAAAUUUAUGUUCCAAUUUCCUUGGAUGGCAUCCCAGUUGGCCACAUAAAAACUGAGG